UACAGAGGGGGCGAGCGUUGUUCGGAAUUACUGGGCGUAAAGGGCGCGUAGGCGGCCUGCUAAGUCGGACGUGAAAUCCCUCGGCUCAACCGGGGAACUGCGUCCGAUACUGGUUGGCUUGAAUUCGGGAGAGGGAUGCGGAAUUCCAGGUGUAGCGGUGAAAUGCGUAGAUAUCUGGAGGAACACCGGUGGCGAAGGCGGCAUCCUGGACCGAGAUUGACGCUGAUGCGCGAAAGCCAGGGGAGCAAAGCGGG
rnacentral:rRNA from 1 species